rnacentral:rRNA from 1 species
CCUACGGGGGGCAGCAGUAGGGAAUCUUUCACAAUGGGCGAAAGCCUGAUGGAGCAACGCCGCGUGCAGGAUGAAGGCCUUCGGGUUGUAAACUGCUUUUAUAAGCGAGAAAUAUGAUGGUAACUUAUGAAUAAGGAUCGGCUAACUACGUGCCAGCAGCCGCGGUCAUACGUAGGAUCCGAGCAUUAUCCGGAGUGACUGCGUGUAAAGAGUUGCGUAGGUGGCAUAAUAAGUAGCUAGUGAAAUCUGGUGGCUCAACCAUUCAGACUAUUAGCUAAACUGUUAAGCUCGAGACCGUUAGGGGUAACUGGAAUUUCUAGUGUAGGAGUGAAAUCCGUAGAUAUUAGAAGGAACACCAAUAGCGUAGGCAGGUUGCUGGGACGGUUCUGACACUAAGGCACGAAAGCGUAGGGAGCAAACGGGAUUAGAUACCCGAGUAGUC